GUUCUGAAUGGAAGGGCCAUCGCUCAACGGAUAAAAGGUACUCCGGGGAUAACAGGCUGAUACCGCCCAAGAGUUCAUAUCGACGGCGGUGUUUGGCACCUCGAUGUCGGCUCAUCACAUCCUGGGGCUGAAGUAGGUCCCAAGGGUAUGGCUGUUCGCCAUUUAAAGUGGUACGCGAGCUGGGUUUAGAACGUCGUGAGACAGUUCGGUCCCUAUCUGCCGUGGGCGCUGGAGAAUUGAGGGGGGCUGCUCCUAGUACGAGAGGACCGGAGUGGACGCAUCACUGGUGUUCGGGUUGUCAUGCCAAUGGCACUGCCCGGUAGCUAAAUGCGGAAGAGAUAAGUGCUGAAAGCAUCUAAGCACGAAACUUGCCCCGAGAUGAGUUCUCCCUGAGACCUUGAGUCUCCUGAAGGAACGUUGAAGACUACGACGUUGAUAGGUCGGGUGUGUAAGCGCAGCGAUGCGUUGAGCUAACCGAUACUAAUGAACCGUGAGGCUUAACCUUACAACGCCGAAG
rnacentral:rRNA from 1 species